GACGAACGCUGGCGGCGUGCUUAACACAUGCAAGUCGAACGAAGAGCGAUGGAAGCUUGCUUCUAUCAAUCUUAGUGGCGAACGGGUGAGUAACGCGUAAUCAACCUGCCCUUCAGAGGGGGACAACAGUUGGAAACGACUGCUAAUACCGCAUACGAUCUAAUCUCGGCAUCGAGGAUAGAUGGAAGGUGGCCUCUACAUGUAAGCUAUCACUGAAGGAGGGGAUUGCGUCUGAUUAGCUAGUUGGAGGGGUAACGGCCCACCAAGGCGAUGAUCAGUAGCCGGUCUGAGAGGAUGAACGGCCACAUUGGGACUGAGACACGGCCCAGACUCCUACGGGAGGCAGCAGUGGGGAAUCUUCCGCAAUGGACGAAAGUCUGACGGAGCAACGCCGCGUGAGUGAUGACGGCCUUCGGGUUGUAAAGCUCUGUUAAUCGGGACGAAAGGCCUUCUUGCGAAUAGUGAGAAGGAUUGACGGUACCGGAAUAGAAAGCCACGGCUAACUACGUG
rnacentral:rRNA from 1 species